rnacentral:rRNA from 1 species
GCAUGGUCUUAGCUUGCUAAGGCUGAUGGCGACCGGCGCACGGGUGAGUAACACGUAUCCAACCUGCCGUCUACUCUUGGCCAGCCUUCUGAAAGGAAGAUUAAUCCAGGAUGGGAUCAUGAGUUCACAUGUCCGCAUGAUUAAAGGUAUUUUCCGGUAGACGAUGGGGAUGCGUUCCAUUAGAUAGUAGGCGGGGUAACGGCCCACCUAGUCAACGAUGGAUAGGGGUUCUGAGAGGAAGGUCCCCCACAUUGGAACUGAGACACGGUCCAAACUCCUACGGGAGGCAGCAUUGAGGAAUAUUGGUCAAUGGGCGAUGGCCUGAACCAGCCAAGUAGCGUGAAGGAUGACUGCCCUAUGGGUUGUAAACUUCUUUUAUAAAGGAAUAA